AAAAGCUUUCUUUAAUUGAAUAAUUGAAUUUAAUUUUUUAGUGCAAAAGCAAAAAUAAAAAUUAGGGACAAGAAGACCCUAUGAAUUUUUUAUUAAAUUUUAUAAAACUUUAUAUAAAAUUUAAUUUAAUUGGGGUGAUAGAAAAAGAAUAAAUAUCUUUUUUUUUAAAAAAAAUUGGUUCCGUUUUUAGCGAUUAAAUGAAAAAAAUACUCUAGGGAUAACAGCGUAAUAAUUUUGGAUAGUUCAUAUAGAUAAAAUAGUUUGCGACCUCGAUGUUGGAUUAGGAUUCUUUUUUGGUGAAGAAGUUAAAAAAAGAAGUUUGUUCAACUUAUAAUUUCCUACUUGAUCUGAGUUCAGACCGG
rnacentral:rRNA from 1 species